rnacentral:lncRNA from 1 species
CAAGAUGCUGAUGAUACUGUUGCUGACGUUUAUUACCCACCAUCUGUGCAAUCACCCGAGGAAGGCAGGGCCUCAGCUGAAAUGGGUUCUCCCGUUGGAGUUGUAGUGGAUGCCUCAUAUUAUGUAAAGUUUGCUGAAGCUGGUGUUCAAGCCACCACUUCGACAGCUGAAGCUUCAGUAAAUACCACUUCAUCGCUAAAGGAUGCUGAAACUCAAACUGACAUCACAGGCAGUGUUCUGAAGAGUUUUGAAGCUGAUAACCAGGUCCUACGCACCGAGUUACAGGAGGUGAAGGGCUCUCUGGACACACUUCGGCU